rnacentral:rRNA from 1 species
UACGAAGGGGGCUAGCGUUGUUCGGAAUUACUGGGCGUAAAGCGCGUGUAGGCGGGUCCUUAAGGCAGGGGGGAGAUGCCAAGGCUCAACCUUGGAACUGCCUUUGAUACUGGGGAUCUUGAGUCCGGGAGAGGUGAGUGGAACUGCGAGUGUAGAGGUGAAAUUCGUAGAUAUUCGCAAGAACACCAGUGGCGAAGGCGGCUCACUGGCCCGGAACUGACGCUGAGACGCGAAAGCGUGGGGAGCAAACAGG